rnacentral:piRNA from 1 species
UAGAGGAAGGACUCUGCUGGGAAGGU